CAUGCAGACGGUUAAUAUAAGUUAAAAGUGAAAUUCUAAGGCUUAACCUUGGUAGUACUUUUAAAACUAAUUAACUUGAGUUUGGUAGGAGGUGACGUUAUUCAUAGUGUAGUGAUAAAAUAUGUAAAUACUAUGAGGAGCAUCAAAAGCGAAAGCAGUCAUCUAGAACAAAACUGACGUUGUAAUGCGAAGGUUUGGGUAGCAAACA
rnacentral:rRNA from 1 species